rnacentral:rRNA from 1 species
UACGUAGGGUGCGAGCGUUGUCCGGAUUUAUUGGGCGUAGAGAGCUCGUAGGCGGUUUGUCGCGUCGGCCGUGAAAUCUCCACGCUUAACGUGGAGCGUGCGGUCGAUACGGGCAGACUUGAGUUCGGUAGGGGAGACUGGAAUUCCUGGUGUAGCGGUGAAAUGCGCAGAUAUCAGGAGGAACACCGGUGGCGAAGGCGGGUCUCUGGGCCGUAACUGACGCUGAGGAGCGAAAGCGUGGGGAGCGAACAGG